GGCGAGGGGAGUGAAAAAGAACCUGAAACCGUGUACGUACAAGCAGUAGGAGCCCACUAGUUGGGUGACUGCGUACCUUUUGUAUAAUGGGUCAGCGACUUAUAUUCUGUAGCAAGGUUAACCGUAUAGGGGAGCCGCAGGGAAACCGAGUCUUAACUGGGCGUUAAGUUGCAGGGUAUAGACCCGAAACCCGGUGAUCUAGCCAUGGGCAGGUUGAAGGUUGGGUAACACUAACUGGAGGACCGAACCGACUAAUGUUGAAAAAUUAGCGGAUGACUUGUGGCUGGGGGUGAAAGGCCAAUCAAACCGGGAGAUAGCUGGUUCUCCCCGAAAGCUAUUUAGGUAGCGCCUCGUGAAUUCAUCUUCGGGGGUAGAGCACUGUUUCGGCUAGGGGGUCAUCCCGACUUACCAACCCGAUGCAAACUACGAAUACCGAAGAAUGUUAUCACGGGAGACACACGGCGGGUGCUAACGUCCGUCGUGAAGAGGGAAACAACCCAGACCGCCAGCUAAGGUCCCAAAGUCAUGGUUAAGUGGGAAACGAUGUGGGAAGGCCCAGACAGCCAGGAUGUUGGCUUAGAAGCAGCCAUCAUUUAAAGAAAGCGUAAUAGCUCACUGGUCGAGUCGGCCUGCGCGGAAGAUGUAACGGGGCUAAACCAUGCACCGAAGCUGCGGCAGCGACACUAUGUGUUGUUGGGUAGGGGAGCGUUCUGUAAGCCGUUGAAGGUGGCCUGUGAGGGUUGCUGGAGGUAUCAGAAGUGCGAAUGCUGACAUAAGUAACGAUAAUGCGGGUGAAAAACCCGCACGCCGGAAGACCAAGGGUUCCUGUCCAACGUUAAUCGGGGCAGGGUGAGUCGACCCCUAAGGCGAGGCCGAAAGGCGUAGUCGAUGGGAAACAGGUUAAUAUUCCUGUACUUGGUGUUACUGCGAAGGGGGGACGGAGAAGGCUAUGUUGGCCGGGCGACGGUUGUCCCGGUUUAAGCAUGUAGGCGGAUGUUCCAGGUAAAUCCGGAGCGUCACUAACGCUGAGGUGUGAUGACGAGGCACUACGGUGCUGAAGUGACAAAUGCCCUGCUUCCAGGAAAAGCCUCUAAGCAUCAGGUAACAUCAAAUCGUACCCCAAACCGACACAGGUGGUCAGGUAGAGAAUACCAAGGCGCUUGAGAGAACUCGGGUGAAGGAACUAGGCAAAAUGGUGCCGUAACUUCGGGAGAAGGCACGCUGAUGGUAGGUGAAGUGACUUGCUCAUGGAGCUGAAAUCAGUCGAAGAUACCAGCUGGCUGCAACUGUUUAUUAAAAACACAGCACUGUGCAAACACGAAAGUGGACGUAUACGGUGUGACGCCUGCCCGGUGCCGGAAGGUUAAUUGAUGGGGUUAUCCUCGCGGAGAAGCUCUUGAUCGAAGCCCCGGUAAACGGCGGCCGUAACUAUAACGGUCCUAAGGUAGCGAAAUUCCUUGUCGGGU
rnacentral:rRNA from 1 species